GUGGGGAAUCUUGCGCAAUGGGCGAAAGCCUGACGCAGCCAUGCCGCGUGAAUGAUGAAGGUCUUAGGAUUGUAAAAUUCUUUCACCGGGGACGAUAAUGACGGUACCCGGAGAAGAAGCUCCGGCUAACUUCGUGCCAGCAGCCGCGGUAAUACGAAGGGGGCUAGCGUUGCUCGGAAUUACUGGGCGUAAAGGGCGCGUAGGCGGACAGCUUAGUCAGAGGUGAAAGCCCAGGGCUCAACCUUGGAAUUGCCUUUGAUACUGGCUGUCUUGAGUGUGGGAGAGGUGAGUGGAACUCCGAGUGUAGAGGUGAAAUUCGUAGAUAUUCGGAAGAACACCAGUGGCGAAGGCGACUCACUGGCCCAAUACUGACGCUGAGGCGCGAAAGCGUGGGGAGCAAACAGGAUUAGAUACCCGAGUAGUCC
rnacentral:rRNA from 1 species